ACACAAAGGAUCCUGUGGGCUUGAACAAGGGGCUUGAACAAAAAGCAGUUACUCCACAGAAGACCAGAGGGGUCCUCCCAGCAUUCUGGCUCUAUGAGGAAACUGAGACCCAGAGAUGGAGCUGGGAUUCAAAACAAUGUCUAGUGUGACUCCAGAGCCUUUCCUAACUCCAACUUAAAGCCUCUGAGGAAUGCUGAAAAGAGCACAGGACAUAGAAUCCAGAUUAAAAUGAUGAAAGUCAUCAACCUUAAAAGAAGCAAAAAAGAAGAGAAUUAGCUCCUCUGUGUAAUUUUUUUAAAUAUAGCAUCAAACCAUCUUCCCGUCAGCAACAGGCACUGCAGUAUUGAAGAUCAUCACAUGAGGGCAGAGGGCGUAAAAAAGGAUGGUGUGUUGAGACCAGAAGCAGCAGCAGUCCUUGACAUCAACUACAACUUUCCUUCGCACAGUGCAUACCCUCUGAUAUACUGAACCCAACGCCUAUCCUCCAGCCCCCUAAGAACUAGAGAGGGAGCCUCACAACAUUCCAAUUUAAUCCUUCAGAAAAUUCAUUACUCUUCAAAGUUGUCUGUGGUUUUGUGACAACGAUAUGACUAGGUGCAAAAUGGCUUGCAACUAAUUAACAAACAUAGAAGCAUCCAACAAACAUAUGUGUACAAUCUGAGGAUGUAGGGAUGAAAUCAGUUAUCCAGGUUAGCUAUCAACAAAAGAGCAGUAAUUAUAAAGUUUCAUGAAGAAAGUGGCUGUUGAGGUGUGGACUAUGAAAGUAAGACUGACAACAAGAAAUGAUUUUGUUAUAAUCAAGAAGUGAAACUAAAUAAAUGUUCUUUAAAUUGAUGGAUAAAUAAGAAAGAAUUUAUUUACAAGAGUAAAUAAAUCCAAUACUUGUUAUAAAUAAGAUAAAGCUGGCUAUAAAUUCACAUUUUCAUGUGAGCGUUUUGAAGUAUGUGGACAUAAAAAACACACACCUCAAGUAUACUUCUCAAUGAUUUCUGAUAAAGAAUACACCUUUGUAACCAGCACAUGGUGUAAAACCAGAAACAGAACAUUACCAGAUUCCUAAACAAGCCUUCUUUGUGCCCCUUUUUAGUCACUACCCUCCCCCAUUCAAGGUAACUUCUAUCUUGACUUCUAACACCACACUUUUAGUUUUGCC
rnacentral:lncRNA from 1 species